GAUGAACGCUGGCGGCGUGCCUAAUACAUGCAAGUCGAGCGAACAGAUGAGGAGCUUGCUCCUCUGACGUUAGCGGCGGACGGGUGAGUAACACGUGGAUAACCUACCUAUAAGACUGGGAUAACUUCGGGAAACCGGAGCUAAUACCGGAUAAUAUAUUGAACCGCAUGGUUCAAUAGUGAAAGACGGUUUUGCUGUCACUUAUAGAUGGAUCCGCGCCGCAUUAGCUAGUUGGUAAGGUAACGGCUUACCAAGGCUACGAUGCGUAGCCGACCUGAGAGGGGGCUCGCCCAAGCUGGAACGGAGAGACGGUCCAGACUCCUGCGGGAGGCACCAGUAGGAGAUCUUCAGGAAUGGGAGAAAGCGUGAAGGAUCAACGCCGCGUGAGUGAUGAAGGUCUUCGGACCGUAAAACUCUGUUAUGAGGGAGGAACAAAUGUGUAAGUAACUAUGGACGUCUUGACGGUACCUAAUAAGAAAGCCACGGCUAACUACGUG
rnacentral:rRNA from 1 species